UACGUAGGGUGCAAGCGUUAAUCGGAAUUACUGGGCGUAAAGCGUGCGCAGGCGGUUAUAUAAGACAGAUGUGAAAUCCCCGGGCUCAACCUGGGAACUGCAUUUGUGACUGUAUAGCUAGAGUACGGUAGAGGGGGAUGGAAUUCCGCGUGUAGCAGUGAAAUGCGUAGAUAUGCGGAGGAACACCAAUGGCGAAGGCAAUCCCCUGGGCCUGUACUGACGCUCAUGCACGAAAGCGUGGGGAGCAAACAGG
rnacentral:rRNA from 1 species